rnacentral:rRNA from 1 species
AGCGAACGCUGGCGGCAGGCCUAACACAUGCAAGUCGAACGAACCUUUCGGGGUUAGUGGCGGACGGGUGAGUAACACGUGGGAACGUGCCUUUAGGUUCGGAAUAACUCAGGGAAACUUGUGCUAAUACCGAAUGCGCCCUUCGGGGGAAAGAUUUAUCGCCUUUAGAGCGGCCCGCGUCUGAUUAGCUAGUUGGUUGAGGUAAUGGCUCACCAAGGCGACGAUCAGUAGCUGGUCUGAGAGGAUGAUCAGCCACAUUGGGACUGAGACACGGCCCAAACUCCUACGGGAGGCAGCAGUGGGGAAUCUUGCGCAAUGGGCGAAAGCCUGACGCAGCCAUGCCGCGUGAAUGAUGAAGGUCUUAGGAUUGUAAAAUUCUUUCACCGGGGACGAUAAUGACGGUACCCGGAGAAGAAGCCCCGGCUAACUUCGUG